AGAGUUUGAUCCUGGCUCAGAACGAACGCUGGCGGCGUGCUUAACACAUGCAAGUCGAACGCGAAAAUUUUCCUCGGAAAGUGAGUAGAGUGGCGCACGGGGGAGUAACGCGUAAGUUAUCUANNNNNNNNNNNNNNNNNNNNNNNNNNNNNNNNNNNNNNNNNNNNNNNNNNNNNNNNNNNNNNNNNNNNNNNNAUCAGGAAAGAUGGCCUCUGACUCAAGCUAUCGUAUAAGGAUGAGUCUGCGUACCAUUAGCUAGUAGGUGGGGUAAUGGCCUACCUAGGCUACGAUGGUUAGCGGGUCUGAGAGGAUGAUCCGCCACACUGGAACUGAAACACGGACCAGACUCCUACGGGAGGCAGCAGUGAGGAAUAUUGCGCAAUGGGGGCAACCCUGACGCAGCGACGCCGCGUGGAUGAUGAAGGCCUUCGGGUCGUAAAAUCCUGUCAGAUGGAAAGAAAUGCAUGGUGGCUAAUAUCCAUUAUGUUUGACGGUACCACUGAAGGAAGCACCGGCUAACUCCGUGCCAGCAGCCGCGGUAAUACGGAGGGUGCAAGCGUUGUUCGGAAUUACUGGGCGUAAAGGGCGCGUAGGCGGCGCUGUAAGUCAGAUGUGAAAGUCCACGGCUUAACCGUGGAAGUGCAUCUGAUACUGCAGCGCUUGAGUAUCGGAGGGGAAAGUAGAAUUCCCGGUGUAGAGGUGAAAUUCGUAGAUAUCGGGAGGAAUACCGGUGGGCGAAGGCGACUUUCUGGACGAAUACUGACGCUGAUGCGCGAAAGCGUGGGGAGCAAACAGGAUUAGAUACCCUGGUAGUCCACAGCUGUAAACGAUGUACACUAGAUGUAGGGGGUGUUGACCCCUCCUGUGUCGCAGCUAACGCAUUAAGUUCUCCGCCUGGGGAGUACGGUCGCAAGAUUAAAACUCAAAGGAAUUGACGGGGGCCCGCACAAGCGGUGGAGUAUGUGGUUUAAUUCGACGCAACGCGAAGAACCUUACCUGGUCUUGACAUCCCGGGAAUCUUUAGGAAACUAGAGAGUGCCUCGUAAGAGGAGCCCGGUGACAGGUGCUGCAUGGCUGUCGUCAGCUCGUGUCGUGAGAUGUUGGGUUAAGUCCCGCAACGAGCGCAACCCUUGUCUUUAGUUGCCAGCAUUAAGUUGGGCACUCUAGAGAGACUGCCGGUGACAAACCGGAGGAAGGUGGGGAUGACGUCAAAUCAUCAUGCCCCUUAUGUUCUGGGCUACACACGUGCUACAAUGGCCGGUACAGACGGAAGCGAAGCCGCGAGGUGAAGCAAAUCCGAGAAAGCCGGUCUCAGUUCGGAUUGCAGGCUGCAACUCGCCUGCAUGAAGUCGGAAUCGCUAGUAAUCGCAGGUCAGCAUACUGCGGUGAAUACGUUCCCGGGCCUUGUACACACCGCCCGUCAAACCAUGAGAGUUGGUUGUACCAGAAGUCGUCGGGCCAACCCGUAAGGGAGGUAGGCGCCGAAGGUAUGGCUGAUGAUUGGGGUGAAGUCGUAACAAGGUAACC
rnacentral:rRNA from 1 species